rnacentral:rRNA from 1 species
AGAGUUUGAUCCUGGCUCAGGACGAACGCUGGCGGCGUGCCUAAUACAUGCAAGUCGAACGAAGCUUUCUUUCACCGAAUGCUUGCAUUCACCGAAAGAAGCUUAGUGGCGAACGGGUGAGUAACACGUAGGCAACCUGCCCAAAAGAGGGGGAUAACACUUGGAAACAGGUGCUAAUACCGCAUAGCCAUGAACACCGCAUGAUGUUCGUGUAAAAGACGGCUUUUGCUGUCACUUUUGGAUGGGCCUGCGGCGUAUUAACUUGUUGGUGGGGUAACGGCCUACCAAGGUGAUGAUACGUAGCCGAACUGAGAGGUUGAUCGGCCACAUUGGGACUGAGACACGGCCCAAACUCCUACGGGAGGCAGCAGUAGGGAAUCUUCCACAAUGGACGAAAGUCUGAUGGAGCAACGCCGCGUGAAUGAAGAAGGCCUUCGGGUCGUAAAAUUCUGUUGUCAGAGAAGAAUGUGCGUGAGAGUAACUGUUCACGUAUUGACGGUAUCUGACCAGAAAGCCACGGCUAACUACGUGCCAGCAGCCGCGGUAAUACGUAGGUGGCAAGCGUUGUCCGGAUUUAUUGGGCGUAAAGGGAACGCAGGCGGUCUUUUAAGUCUGAUGUGAAAGCCUUCGGCUUAACCGAAGUAGUGCAUUGGAAACUGGAAGACUUGAGUGCAGAAGAGGAGAGUGGAACUCCAUGUGUAGCGGUGAAAUGCGUAGAUAUAUGGAAGAACACCAGUGGCGAAAGCGGCUCUCUGGUCAGUAACUGACGCUGAGGUUCGAAAGCGUGGGUAGCAAACAGGAUUAGAUACCCUGGUAGUCCACGCCGUAAACGAUGAGUGCUAAGUGUUGGAGGGUUUCCGCCCUUCAGUGCUGCAGCUAACGCAUUAAGCACUCCGCCUGGGGAGUACGGUCGCAAGACUGAAACUCAAAGGAAUUGACGGGGGCCCGCACAAGCGGUGGAGCAUGUGGUUUAAUUCGAAGCAACGCGAAGAACCUUACCAGGUCUUGACAUCUUCUGACAAUUCCAGAGAUGGAACGUUCCCUUCGGGGACAGAAUGACAGGUGGUGCAUGGUUGUCGUCAGCUCGUGUCGUGAGAUGUUGGGUUAAGUCCCGCAACGAGCGCAACCCUUAUUGUCAGUUGCCAUCAUUAAGUUGGGCACUCUGGCGAGACUGCCGGUGACAAACCGGAGGAAGGUGGGGAUGACGUCAAAUCAUCAUGCCCCUUAUGACCUGGGCUACACACGUGCUACAAUGGACGGUACGACGAGUCGCUAACUCGCGAGGGCAAGCUAAUCUCCUAAAUCCGUUCUCAGUUCGGAUUGCAGGCUGCAACUCGCCUGCAUGAAGUCGGAAUCGCUAGUAAUCGCGAAUCAGCAUGUCGCGGUGAAUACGUUCCCGGGCCUUGUACACACCGCCCGUCACACCAUGAGAGUUUGUAACACCCAAAGUCGGUGGGGUAACCUUUUGGAGCCAGCCGCCUAAGGUGGGACAGAUGAUUGGGGUGAAGUCGUAACAAGGUA